rnacentral:tRNA from 1 species
AUCUUUUUAGUAUAUAAAAUAUACUUGACUUCCAAUCAAGGGAUCCUGAUAAAGGAAAAGAUA